AGCUUUGCGCAGUGGCAGUAUCGUAGCCAAUGAGGUUUAUCCGAGGCGCGAUUAUUGCUAAUUGAAACUGUGUCUGAAUUUCUACUCCUAUAGCCACCUGCCUACUCUAUGGAUUUUGGACUUGCCAGCCUCCA
ensembl:snRNA U4 U4 spliceosomal RNA